rnacentral:rRNA from 1 species
CCUACGGGGGGCUGCAGUGAGGAAUAUUGGUCAAUGGACGAGAGUCUGAACCAGCCAAGUAGCGUGAAGGAUGACUGCCCUAUGGGUUGUAAACUUCUUUUAUAAAGGAAUAAAACGAGGCACGUGUGCCUUUUUGCAUGUACUUUAUGAAUAAGGAUCGGCUAACUCCGUGCCAGCAGCCGCGGUAAUACGGAGGAUCCGAGCGUUAUCCGGAUUUAUUGGGUGUAAAGGGAGCGUAGAUGGGUUGUUAAGUCAGUUGUGAAAGUUUGCGGCUCAACCGUAAAAUUGCAAUUGAGACUAGCAGACUUGAGUACAGUUGAGGUAGGCGGAAUUCGUGGUGUAGCGGUGAAAUGCUUAGAUAUCACGAAGAACCCCGAUUGCGAAGGCAGCUUACUAAACUGUGACUGACAUUGAUGCUCGAAAGUGUGGGGAUCAAACAGGAUUAGAUACCCGGGUAGUC